AUUGAACGCUGGCGGCAUGCUUUACACAUGCAAGUCGAACGGUAACAGGGUGCUUGCACCGCUGACGAGUGGCGAACGGGUGAGUAAUGCGUCGGAACGCACCGAGUAAUGGGGGAUGACGCAGCGAAAGCUGUGCUAAUACCGCAUACGCUCUGAGGAGGAAAGCGGGGGAGCUUCGGGCCUCGCGUUAUUCGAGCGGCCGACGUGUGAUAUAGCUAGUAGGUGAGGUAAGAGCUCACCUAGGCGACGAUCAGUAGCGGGUCUGAUUGGAUGUGCGUCACAACUGGUACUGGGACAAGGCUCAGACUCCUACGGGAGACAGCAGUGUGGAAUUUUGGCUGAUGGCGGUAAGGCUGAUCCAGUCAUGCCGAGUGUCUGAAGAAGGCCUUCGGGUUGUAAAGGGCUUGUGUCAGGGAGGAAAUCCUUAGUGCUAAUACCAUUGAGGCAUGACAGUACCUGAAGAAUAAGCACCGGGUAACUACGUGCCAGCAGCCGAAGUAA
rnacentral:rRNA from 1 species